UGCUCCGGUGGCCUAGUGGUUAGAGCGUCCGUCUCGGAUGCAGGGAGGUCAUGGGUUCGAUUCCCGGUCCAGUCAU